GACGAACGCUGGCGGCGUGCUUAACACAUGCAAGUCGUACGGUAAGGCCCUUUCGGGGGUACACGAGUGGCGCACGGGUGAGUAACACGUGAGUAACCUGCCCACAACUUUGGGAUAACGCUAGGAAACUGGUGCUAAUACUGGAUAUGUGCUCCUGCUGCAUGGUGGGGGUUGGAAAGCUCCGGCGGUUGUGGAUGGACUCGCGGCCUGUCAGCUUGUUGGUGGGGUAGUGGCCUACCAAGGCGGCGACGGGUAGCCGGCCUGAGAGGGUGACCGGCCACAUUGGGACUGAGAUACGGCCCAGACUCCUACGGGAGGCAGCAGUGGGGAAUAUUGCACAAGGGGCGCAAGCCUGAUGCAGCAACGCCGCGUGCGGGAUGACGGCCUUCGGGUUGUAAACCGCUUUCAGCAGGGACGAAGCUUUUUGUGACGGUACCUGCAGAAGAAGCACCGGCUAACUACGUG
rnacentral:rRNA from 1 species